UAGGCUGCAACUCGCCUACACGAAGCUGGAAUCGCUAGUAAUCGCGGAUCAGCACGCCGCGGUGAAUACGUUCCCGGGCCUUGUACACACCGCCCGUCACACCAUGAGAGUCUGUAACACCCAAAGCCGGUGGGAUAACCUUUAUAGGAGUCAGCCGUCUAAGGUAGGACAGAUGAUUAGGGUGAAGUCGUAACAAGGUAAC
rnacentral:rRNA from 1 species